rnacentral:rRNA from 1 species
GACGAACGCUGGCGGCGUGCCUAAUACAUGCAAGUAGAACGCUGAAGGAGGAGCUUGCUCUUCUGGAUGAGUUGCGAACGGGUGAGUAACGCGUAGGUAACCUGCCUGGUAGCGGGGGAUAACUAUUGGAAACGAUAGCUAAUACCGCAUAAUAGUAGAUGUUGCAUGAUAUUUACUUAAAAGGUGCAAUUGCACCACUACCAGAUGGACCUGCGUUGUAUUAGCUAGUUGGUGGGGUAACGGCUCACCAAGGCGACGAUACAUAGCCGACCUGAGAGGGUGAUCGGCCACACUGGGACUGAGACACGGCCCAGACUCCUACGGGAGGCAGCAGUAGGGAAUCUUCGGCAAUGGACGAAAGUCUGACCGGGCAACGCCGCGUGAGUGAAGAAGGUUUUCGGAUCGUAAAGCUCGGUUGUAAGAGAAGAACGAGUGUGAGAGUGGAAAGUUCACACUGUGACGGUAUCUUACCAGAAAGGGACGGCUAACUACGUG